CCAAUAGCGUAUAUUAAAGUUGCUGCAGUUAAAAAGCUCGUAGUUGAAUUUCGGGACUAAUAUGUCGGUCGUGCCUCGGUACGUACUGGCUUAUUGGUUUCUCCUUUCUGAAGAACCAUGAUGUCAUUUAUUUGGUGUCGUGGGGAAUCAGGACUGUUACUUUGAAAAAAUUAGAGUGUUUAAAGCAGGCUUACGCUUGAAUACAUUAGCAUGGAAUAAUGAAAUAGGACGUUUGAUUCUAUUUUGUUGGUUUCUAGGAUCGACGUAAUGAUUAAUAGGGAUAGUUGGGGGCAUUAGUAUUCAAUUGUCAGAGGUGAAAUUCUUGGAUUUAUUGAAGACUAACUACUGCGAAAGCAUUUGCCAAGGAUGUUUUCAUUAAUCAAGAACGAAAGUUAGGGGAUCGAAGACGAUCAGAUACCGUCGUAGUCUUAACCAUAAACUAUGCCGACUAGGGAUCGGAUGAUGUUAAUUUUUUAAUGACUCAUUCGGCGCCUUACG
rnacentral:rRNA from 1 species